rnacentral:rRNA from 1 species
UACGGAGGGGGCUAGCGUUGUUCGGAAUUACUGGGCGUAAAGCGCACGUAGGCGGCUUUGCAAGUUAGAGGUGAAAGCCCGGGGCUCAACUCCGGAAUUGCCUUUAAAACUGCAUCGCUAGAAUUGUGGAGAGGUAAGUGGAAUUCCGAGUGUAGAGGUGAAAUUCGUAGAUAUUCGGAAGAACACCAGUGGCGAAGGCGGCUCACUGGCCCGGUACUGACGCUGAGGUGCGAAAGCGUGGGGAGCAACAGG